GCCCCCCCCUUUGUCCAGCUGGGACACGGAAUGGCCACGGGCCUCCUCCCCCUCCCCUCCAGCCCCUCCACCAGCCCCUCCAGUCACCCCUCAUCGCCGUGCCCCCCCAGAGCUAGAGAGAUGGGGCCCCUCCGUGGCCCAAGGGGCAGAGCUGGGCGUCACCUCCCAAGCAUCCUGCCCUGCCGGGGCGCGGGGAUGGGCUCUGGGGAAGCCGGUGCGCCCCCCACGCCUCCGCUGCCAGUGCCUUACAUUCUGGAGCGACCCCCCUCCCUGGUGCCUCCCAGCGAAGGGGGACUGCCGUUUGCACUUUCAUCGCCCCCCCAAGUGGGGCCCAGCCGGGGGACGUGCAUAACGGCUGGGCCCCCGGAGGAGAGAGGAGGCCGACGCCAGCGGUCCCCGCUCGGGACGGGGAGGGUUCUGGGGGGGUUCGGCGUCGCACCUCGGGGCUCCCUCGCGGCCGUGUAGGGGGCCUCCCAUCUGCUAAGCGUUUUUCCGUUGAGCCGCUCCAAAAACACUAAGCUGGGGACGCCAGGUGCCCGCCACCCCGGCUCCCUGGCCCCAUCCACACCUCCACCCCCACCCCAGGAUCGCCAUCUUUAGGGGAGGCCCGGGAGGGGGUGUUAGGUGUUUUAGGGCCACCGAGCUCAAACACAAGGACCCCUCCCCGGCUCACCCAGCCCAGCCCCAACUGACCUCCAUGCCUAGGGAGAAUCUCCCCCCACCACGGCCCCCUCCCCGCACCCAGGCCAAAGCCAGGGCAGGUCUCCGGGUCUCACCUGCUCCUAGCCUCACCCCCUUGCCCCGGAAAUCCAGACUCUCCUCCCAAACUAGCCCCAGGAGCUUGGCGACCCCGCUCGCUCCUGAAGAGAAAGACCCAGGACCCUUCCCCAUCACCCCCAAGAGAGGUUCGCCAUCCUCUGGCCUCAGACCCUUGGUCCGUCCGUCCGUCUGUCUGUCCUCAGGGCCCCGCCCCCCGGUGGCCCUUGGGGACCAAAGUGUGGGCCGCUCUCCAGGAGGGCGGCGGGGGAGGGUGGUAGGGUUGUGCCAUUGGGGCAUCCGGAAGCUUCUCAGCCAGGGUGGGGGUCGUGGCGUUGGGGAGGGGGGCCAGCCGGGCUCCCGAGGGUCAGGGCGUGACCAGAACCAACUCUUUACCUAACUUUGCAUGGUGCUUAGUCAAGGACUCCUGCGACCUGGCUCCCGAGGUCAGCUGGCGGCGCUGACACACAUGCAUGGCAGAUUAUACCUGGCUCUAUCUCCCUCCCCCUCGCCCCCCCUGCCCCCCACUUCCUCUUUAAAAAAAAAAAAAAGAUACAAAAAAAAACCUUAAAAAAAUUCCAUGUUUCCUAAUUUGCACGAAAUUUUCUACCACAAGAUGUGCCUUGCCUUCCGAGAAUAAGUAUUACCUUUGAACAAUAUCAGCGCACACACAUAGCUGCAUGUUCUGCUCGUGUAGUUUAAAAAAAAAAAAAAGACAAAACAGUGACAUGAAAUAAAAAAUAAAAAUUGAAAAGGGAUGUAUUUCUAUUUGUAAAAAAAAAAUUAAAAAAUAAGAAAGUGAGAAUCUAAAAAAAAAAAAAGAAGAAGAAAAACCACGCUAAAAAUCAAGCCACUGAAAACAGUUGCCCCCAGGUCUACCCAGUCCCUGGCUGUCCUUGGUCCUGUCUCCCCUCCUGCUGUAUUCAGGGGUGCCCCCUGGUGCUCAGCCUCUACCACCCCCAACCCUGCUCUCGGGUACCCAGAGGGGUCAUUUCUGAACCCCUGCCCAGAGGACAGACCUCUAGGGCCCACCUUGGCCCCGGGAAAGGGCUCUUCUCUCUAAUUGGUCCCUGGGCCACAGGCCGGCCCCCAGACACCAUUCACUGACCCACUGCAGGCUGUCCCCCCAACCAUGGGGUGGCUACCCCACUUGCAGCCAGACUCCCCGCUCCCCACUUUUCAUGCAGGCUGGCAUACCCCUGGCUCAGGGUCAAAUGCUGUUCACACCCACCUCAGAGGCACCCCCUCUCCCCUGCCCUGUGCACCCCCACCCUUCUUGCCAAAGGACCUCUUUUCCCCUAUCCAGACACCACCCCGGGUGGCAUUCUCUCCCACCCUCUCCUUUGUCCCCCAUCCCCUGUCUCUGUCUUCCAGCUGUGAAAUGAAGGGUAUCCGGUAUGAAACAAACACACAAAACCUGAUAUAUGCAAUAUCUGUCCGUCCGUCUGUCUGUGUGUCUACCCACGGGCCUGACUCAGCCAUUGGAGGCCCAGCCGAGGGUCCGGCAGGGCGCAGGGACAGCCAGGUAGCGCCAGGUCGCAGGCCGCGCUCCGGUGGCUGACCAUGCUGUUGUCUUGUCCUUGCUUUUAUUUUCUCUUGUUCUUUCUUUCUCUUUUCUUUUUGUUUUUAACUCCAGCUUCCUUUGCUUUUUACUUGACCAAAGAUAAGACAAUAGCCAGAUGGUUAGUGGGGCAGCCAGGCAGGGAGGACCCAGGGCUGGGAUUCUCCAACCUUAGGCCAUUCCUGCAGCCCUAACCACCUCCGGCCCCUCCCGGGCCCUCCAAGCGUCUCGUGUAGGGACCCACGCAGAUGGUCCCGUUCAUUCACCAUGGCCCCCCCACCCUGGGGUUUCGGGUGGUCUCCACAGCCACCAUCACUCAUCCCAUGUUUUCUUCCAAAAAGUCACCUCAGCAGUCUCCCCAGGUGACACAGAGGGAGAGCCCAGACCACCACAGCUGGCCACGACUUUGCCCUUAAGUACUAUCCAUUGGCCAGAGAGCGUAGGCUGGCUGUGCACAGCAUCCAUGUAGCUGAUUUCUGGCUUUUUUUUUUUUUCCUGCCCCCCUCCUGAGCAAAUCUGUCUUGCCAGGGAACUGGGAGCAACCGGUGGCAAAGGGAAUGGGUGGCACCAUGACUGUCGGGACCAUCAAGCCCCUGCGCAGCCCACAUCUGGGGGCCCUGAGUCCUGGGCUGGGUGCCACCUUUCUCCCCCCGAGCUUGCCUCCUGGGCUCACUUGGCACCUUGGCCGAGUACAGCAGGCAGAAGCCCGUGCCGGGCAGCAUGUUGUGGCUGGUUUAGUUCUCCCCGCCUCCCCCCAUUUCUUGGAAAAGAUAUAGGGUCCUGGUAGGGCAAAAUUCCCAGGCACCUUGCUGCAGACAGAAUAAGACAAAAACACCAGGAACCAGGAUUCCAUGCACACCUCUGCAGUGUGGGUUCACAAAAGGGGGUGCUGUCAUCCCUGGGUGGAAGAGAGAGUUGGUUUGGGGUUUGCUUUUCUUUUUACAUGUAUGAAACGGACAUCUUCUCAGACCUUGUCCCAAAGCCUGGAUCACCCAUCCCUGCUGUGGACACCACACCCACGCCAGGUCCCCCCAGUCCCACUCUGGGGUCUGCCCAUUCUGUGGGAAAGAAUAGGGAGGCCUCCCAAAUAUAUGCAAAUUGUCCCCAUUCCAUGGGGGCACCUGACACCGACCCGGGUGGAGAUGGGGCAUGGAGGAGUAGGAAGACCCAGCCCUAUUUGUCUGGGGAGAAGGGGUCUGGAGUCCUUCAUGCCCAGGUCUGGAACCCAGGUUCUGACCCCAGAGCCCCACCCUGGGCUAGACAAUCAGAUCCCAAAGGGAUGCCAAAGGGGACUUUGUUGGGAGAUCCGCUUAGGGGCCAGACCUGGGUCCCCCUGCAGGUCCCCAGGCAGCAGGCCAUUCCACCUUCCGUGCCCCAGGCACAGACAGACUUGGCUGUACCCCACUGUCCCUUGCAAGACAGGUCCUGGAGCCGGGAGCAACUGUCCAGCCCUCCAGAAGAGACAGCAAGCAGGCCCCCUCUACACCCUGACCUCCCCGAUGGUACUUCGACCUCCAGUGUAGGGCUAUACUAUACAUAUAUAUAAUUUUGGAAUGUGUUUCUCAUAAUACAGAGUAUACAGUGGCUACCUUUUAUCUUGGUCUGGAUUCUCUCUCUGAGACCCCGGAUUUUACUUUCUCUUUGGAGGGCGCUGGGACAGUCUGUCAAUCCAGCUUCCUCUGCAUCCUCCCAUCUUUCCCCGUUUCUGCCCUAUCAGACACUUCCUGAGAAUCUCACCUCCAAACUGACACCACUGCCCAUCCAUCACUCAGUGGUACAGAGUGUGGGGUCAGUCCACCACCCUUGAUCUCCCCACAGGGCGAGGGGAGGAGGCGGACCCAAAGCACCACCAGCAGGACUUGUUGCCAGUGAUACCAAAACAGACUUUUCCCCAGCAGUGCCUCACAUGUCUACUGGUGUAGCUUUGGGAUUCUCCUGCCGCCCCCCACAGUCCGUGGCAGCCCCCUCCCCAAGGCUUUGCUCACACCUGAGACAGGAAGGAGGAAGGGGAUCCAACAGGAAUAAGGGCCCCAGAGAGGAAGGAAGUCAUGCACCCCCAAGCCACCACCUCCCAGCCGCUCACGCACACCUCCUGGCUGGAAGAAAGCCCUCUGAAAAGGGGACAUGGGCUGCCCUGGCCCCUCGACUGCACCCACACCCCAUCCUCUCAUCCUGAGUCCCAGCCAGGCCCCCCCAAAACCAAAGCCCCCUCAAGUCUAGGAGUCCCAGCCUGUGCCCCCAGCUUCCUACCCACCUGGCCCCGAGCAUCCCCACACAGAGAAAGAACAAGCAAAGGCUCCGGGGGGACAGGAUGGGGCAGGGCAUACAGUGGGGGGUUGGGGGGCAGCAGGAAGGAGGGAGGAACAAAACAUUUUUCUUUGGGUUUUUGUUUUGUUUUGUUUUCUUUUUUUCCCCUCCUUACUCUUUGGGUGGUGUUGCUUUUCCUUUCCUUUUCCCUUGGAGAUUUUUUUUGUUGUUGUUUCCAUUUUGUAUUUUACUGAUAUUACCAGGAUAGUUUACUCUCCUUCUAGCUUUCUGCUUACCGCACACCGGAUAACACACACGUACACACCCACAAAAAUGCUCAUGAACCCAAUCCGGAGAAGGUUCCGGCUGGGUCCCCCACCCUCCCCACCUCCUGCUACUCCUCCUCCCGACGGCGAGGGCAGGAGGGGGACAAGGGGACACCUGGGCAGACCCGCCGGCUCUCCCCACCCCGCCCCACCCCUCACAUCAUACUCCAAUCAUAACCUUGUAUAUUACGCAGCCCUUUUGGUUUUUGCGGACGCGCCUACCUAAGUACCAUUUACAGAAAGUGACUCUGGCUGUCAUUAUUUUGUUUAUUUGUUCCCUAUGCAAAAAAAAAAAAAAAAAAAAAAAAAUGAAAAAAGGGGGAUUCCAUAAAAGAUUCAAUAAAAGACAAAAAAAAAGAAAAAAGAAAAAAAUGUAUAAAAAUUAAACAAGCUAUGCUUCGACUCUU